UUGAAACAGUAAAAUAAGAUUUCACUGAGAAUCAGUGAGUAUUUCACUGAACUUCAGUAGAAUGUUUACUUUUUGUUUCUUUAUCUUAUAUUUCACUGAUUAUGGUCAGUGAAAGUAAGAUGUUACUGUAAAAUCAGUUAUCUGUUGGUAAUACUGAUUGAUGGUGCGAGGAAGCGGAACAGGAUUGUGAUCUCAGUGAUGUGUGAAACAGAAGACGAGAACGAAGUAUACGUGACGAAGAACGAAGCGGUGCUAAGUGUACAUUACGAAGAAUGAGAGAAACUGCGGUACUGAGCUAAGCGUGCUUGCGAAAAAGGUGAGGUUAAAACAUAAACCACGGCGUAUUGAACGAGAGAACUGAACAGCAAACAGAAUAAGAUUAUUAAUCUCGGUUAUCGUUGGAAACUUAUCAAAAGGAAAGAACAUUGAUAAGGGACAACAUGAUGAUCCUCCUAUUUUUUCAAAUUCUUCGUUAAUACAGAUAUGGCCUGAAGGAACAAACAUAGAGGCACAAGCUCGUAAGCUGAGGAAUGUUUAAUUUUUAAUUGACUUCAUUCUGUAAACAUUUUGUACGUAACAAUUACAUUGUUGAAUAAAAAAUUAUAACAUGUAUUAAGGUUAUUACUUUUUGUUACUGUUUGCUGGGACAUUUACUGAUUUAA